rnacentral:lncRNA from 1 species
AUGGGAGAGACAGGCAAGCUGCAAAGGGAAGUCGACGAAAUAAAAUUAAAGCCCUACAAUCGUGUUCGUGUCAAUGUAGAUGGGGUGCCCCCCUCAGUUUGCUCACAGAGGUGGGUGUGAGAUCCUACAGGACGGUCUGGAAGACAUCCCAUGGAAGGCACUUUAUUUUGCCCAGAAGCUGGAGGAAAAGCAGAAGAGUGCUGAUUGGUGCAUUUACAAUCCUUUAGCUAGACAGAAAAGUUCUCCAAGUCCCCACUUGACCCAGAAAGUCCAGCUGGCUUCACCUCUCAAAACCACUCCACCUGAGGUUUUUAGAUCAAAAAGAAUUGUACUCAAGGAAUUGAAGCUAUGGAGCCUCUGCCACAUCUGGACCUGAUUUUGAUGAAAAGAUCCUGUACCUCAAGCCCGAGACUAAUUUCAUAAUUUGAUGAAUUUUUUGGAGAGUCAUGGGAGGAAUGUAAACAAUUUGUGGCCAAAGGAGAAUUAUGGUAGUUUGAGGAUGUGGACACAAAUUAUUUGACAUUCUUCUCAUAGAAAGGUAACUCCAUAGCUGGGAGCCAAGUCUCAAAGCCCCAUGAGGGGAAGUGAAUACAUCUCAGAAUUGGGUUUCCUGAUACACACUACUGCAUCCUUCAUCUGCCAGGCCCUGGCAUUGUUUAUUGGAGAAGAUGUCAUAGGAAAUUGGGCCAUGUCAUUGAGCCACUGGAGUCACA